UGUAUAGCUUUUUUGCGAUCCAAAUCCUGAAAAUAUUCUUAUGCCACAUCCUGAGAUCCUUUUUUUCUUCUCAACAGAGAUCUUUUCUCUUCUCUCGAGAAGAAGAGAGGAUCAAGAAGUAUGGAUGAGUGUAUUGGAUUUGAUUGCUGUUUUUGUCCUUCUCUUCGUUUCUCCCAGUUCUUCGUUCACAUCUAUGGUGGUUUUCCGUUUUAGGGGUUGCAGGGAUCGGAGAUGGGCGGCCCUUCGUUGGAGCUUGGGGGCUGUUAGAUUCCCUCGGCUGUGGGGCCCGCCCACCGUCCUUUUCCAGUCCUGCCACUCACAUCCCCCCACGUCAGCCUGCGCUCGUGUCCAUGUGUGGGAGUGCAUGAACCUCAGAGUUUUUAUCUCCUCUCUCUCUCUCUUUCUCCUGUUUUUCCUUUUAUCUUUUCCAAUCUUUUUCCUGAUAUUUUGAUCCAAAGAUACAGUAUAUAAUCCUCCUCUCUAUCACUAUUUUAGUACUGUGUCUCGUUUAUCUUCAUGACCUUUCUCUUGCUCCACAAAAAAAAAAAAAAAAAAAAACCUCACCUUGGAUAUUUGGUCCCCUUCUUGGGUUUUAUGUUUCGUGUUGUUUCCUUGUUCCUCCUUUGCUUCUUCAGUAAUAUUUGAUAGCUUGGAGGCAGUCGAUGUUUGCAGGUGUGGCAUCAUCAAGAUUCACAUUGGUCUGAGCAGCCGCAGUCUGAUCCUUAAUGAGAAUCUUGAUGAUGCUGCAUCAGCAAAUAAGCGACUAUAACCAUAUGAGACGCUGAGAUUUGUGGUCGACAUUUUUCACUCGCACUGGUUUGGUAUGGUUGCCUUUGUGUUAUUUGAUUUCUGUUUUACUUUAUUUAUAAAUGUUCCCAGAUUACGUUUAUUUCCACUGUUCCAAGGUUUUUUGCUUGCUUGUAGAUGUUUAUGUAUCAGAAUGUAAGGAGAAGUUGCCAGAGGAUACUUAUGCCAUGCACUAUAUCAUUCUUUCUUUCCCACAUUAUUACAUGUGGACCUUCCUUGGGGUGCAACUUGCAAGCAAUUACUUCAAAGUGGACCAUCCUCAGGGAAGUGUCCUACUCACCUCUACAAUGUACUACUCAUCAGUACAUUUAUAUACACAUUGAUCCAAAGUAUAUAUGUAUUUGGGUAUAAAAUUUCUCUCGUUGCUCCCUUCCUAUAAUGUGUACAACAUGCACUUAGAUUAGCACUCAUAUGAAGGUACAUACCUCUCUCUCUCUCUCUCUCUCUCUCUCAUGUGUACACCUGCAUGCAUAUUCAAAACAAAAAAUUAUAUGUGCACAUUCAUGUAUUUUUUUCCUGUAACUAGUGCAUGAAUAAAACAUGUCUAUGCCUCUUCACAAUAUAUUCGCUAUUUAACAGUCCAAUUGGAUAUUUUCAUUUAUGUCACUACAAGCAUCAUUAAGAAUAAUGCCUGUGGAGGUUGGAUGGUAGCAUGUCAUUUUCUAUUUUGCCUCAAUGAUCUUCAUGAUAAAAAUCUCUUAUUUUUCUCGUGGGAUUUGCUACAGUGCUUCCUAAUAAUAUUUUAUAAGAAGUUAUAAGGUAUCUCAACCGUCGAAUAGAUUAGGUUAUUUAGGGGAUUUUAUUCGCAACAACUUAGCUACAUAUUUUACCAGCUUUCUUACUUUUUUAAUUCUUUUUAUGAGAAAAUAGUUUUUAUUACUGGCCUCUUUUUUAUUUUUUUCAAAAGAAAAUAAUAUUUUAAUAUUUUUCCUGGCAGUCGGCGGUGGUGGCGAAGGAGGGGAGGGGUGGACGGAGGCGGCGGUGCUUGGCGAUGGGUGGAGGUGGGUGGGGUGCCGUAAGGGGGUGGUGGGGAUGACCUCAGCAUCCCCCGCCUCCUUCUAUAUACGUUGUCGACCUCUUCCCCAUCCUUCCUCCUUCUCUGUCUGCACACCGCCCCUCCUCCUCGUCCUCUCCUCCGCCUCCUCCUCCUCCUCCUCCUUCGUCUAUACCCCACCCCUCCUCGUCCUCCGUUUGCACCCUGCCCCUCCUUUCCUCCUCUCUAAGUUCCACGAUAAGGGCCUAGGGAUUGGACUGAAGGGGGAGAAGGCCAGCUAUUUGGAAAGAGCCUCAACUACGCUCUCCACCAUUGGUGUCACUAUAAAGACGAACCUGGAUUUCGAGAAAAUUACCACCCCAGCUAGGAACAUUACUGGCUACAGGAGGUUGCUGGUGGAUUAAUCUUGACCAUCUACGUUGAAUCGGAUGGCCAUAGUUUGACUUCAGUAAAAGAUAAUUUUACCCUUCGGAGCACCAUAGAAGAAUCAUUUCUCUUAUGUCUGGUAUAUAUUUAAGUUCCACCUUCCUAUAUAUUGUUGGUAAUCAUGUCCACAUUAUGGCAUCCAUAUUUGUCAAGUGUCCUAGAAUUGGCAUGUCAAGAAGAUCUUGAUACAAGGACGCCAUGCAAGAACCAGUGUUCUAUCGGACAACCAAGUUAAUAAGGCUUCAUCAUCAACUAGGUCGAUGCACUUAAAAGCAGGUAGCAAAAUGAACGGAUCCCUGAUGUUCCUGCCAUAAGGGUGAUCCUCCCGCUCCUAAUUAGCAAUUCAAGCCUAACAUCUCAUGCAUUUGAGGGUGCCUAAAGGAUUCUACUAAAUUUUCUUCCAGAUUUAUCGAUGUAAACCACUGUUGUACUGGUACUAUUAUUAUGUAUUAAUUUCUUAUUGUCGUGCGUCAUCAACGUAGCAUGGUUCAUGCUGUUAAACAUUUGCUUAAAUGAGCAACUAUGGAGAGGGUGCCUUUGAGGGAUGACAAAGUAAUUGGGGAGUGCCUUUAUCUUUUAUGCUGGCCGCCAUCAACUCUACUCUCAAGGCAUAAAUGAUUUGAAGACUGUUGUAUUUUUCUGUAACGAAAUCCACAAAUUCUCAUCAUAUGAUGGUUCCCAACUUUAUUUAA